rnacentral:rRNA from 1 species
CAGUCGCCACGGUAAUACGUAGGUGGCAAGCGUUGUCCGGAAUUAUUGGGCGUAAAGGGCCCGCAGGCGGUUUCUUAAGUCUGAUGUGAAAGCCCCCGGCUCAACCGGGGAGGGUCAUUGGAAACUGGGAAACUCGAGUGCAGAAGAGGAGAGUGGAAUUCCACGUGUAGCGGUGAAAUGCGUAGAGAUGUGGAGGAACACCAGUGGCGAAGGCGACUCUCUGGUCUGUAACUGACGCUGAGGAGCGAAAGCGUGGGGAGCGAACAGGAUUAGAUACCCCUGUAGUCCCUGUCUCUUAUAC